GCAGAGCAUAUCAUCAGGUAGCCACCGGAGCUGGGCGUCGGCCAGCAUCCGGGAAGUAUGGAAUGCGCCAGACAAUGUGUUCAGUAGGAGUGAAAGGCAGGACGAUGAAGAGGAGCUGCGGUGGGCCGCCAUUGAGCGGCUGCCGACCUACGAUCGGCUAAAGAAGGGGAUGCUAAACCAAAUCCUUGAAGAUGGAAAAGUUGUUAAACAUGAAGUUGAUGUCACUCAUCUUGGCAUGCAAGAUAAGAAGCAGUUGAUGGAAAGCAUAUUGAGAAUUGUUGAAGAGGAUAAUGAAAGGUUUCUUACAAGAAUUAGGCACAGAACUGAUAGGUAACUGAGUAUUUUCAUUUACUUAGUUUUAUUUUGUGAACUGAAUCGUUUCACUUGUUUUUAAUGGUUAACUUCUUGUGAUUAAUGAUUGUAACAGAGUGGGAAUUGAGAUUCCUAAGAUUGAAGUUCGAUAUGAUCAUUUAUCCGUAGACGGUGAUGUGCAUGUUGGAAGCAGAGCUCUUCCCACUUUGCUUAAUGUUGCCUUGAACACAAUAGAGGUAUUUUUAUUUUUGGUUUCAAUUUAUUCUUGGUUUCUUUGUCUGUCAAUUUCUUAAAUUCAUGCGAGUUAUAAUUGAUGUUCUUUUGAUUAUUCGUCGUCAAUAGAGUGCUCUAGGAUUGCUCCAUUUAGUCCCAUCGAAGAAAAGAGAUGUUCAGAUUCUUAAAGAUGUCAGUGGAAUCGUUAAACCAUCUAGGUGAUUUCCUGAACCAUUUAUUCAAAUCACAGGAAUUAAUAUUUGUUGUACUGGUUACUGAAAUGAUAUAUAAAUUACAGGAUGACACUACUUCUUGGUCCUCCUGGUGCCGGGAAAACAACGCUGAUGUUGGCUCUUGCCGGGAAGCUUCAUGAAAAUUUGAGGGUCCGUUUCCAAUCUAGUAAAACUUCUCUUACUUCUUGUUUAUUGUCUUAGAUAAGUUUCUGAUAAUCCGGAUUUGGAAAACUGAACAGGCAUCUGGGAAAAUCACAUACUGUGGCCACGAAUUGAAUGAGUUUGUGCCACAGAGAACCUGUGCUUACAUCAGUCAACAUGAUCUUCACCAUGGAGAGAUGACAGUGAGAGAGACACUGGAUUUCUCAGGACGAUGCUUAGGUGUUGGUACAAGAUAUGAACUGCUGGCUGAACUUUCGAGAAGAGAGAAACAACAAGGAAUUAAGCCGGAUCCUGAGAUUGAUGCAUUCAUGAAAGCCGUGGCAGUUGCAGGCCAAGAGACUAGCUUGGUUACAGAUUAUGUUCUCAAGGUUUGCUCUUCAUUUCAACUUAGCUUAUUUCGUUCGUAACAUAUUUCAUGAUACUUAAGAUUUAGAAUUUGUAACAGCUUCUUGGCUUGGACAUAUGCGCCGAUACUAUGGUUGGUGAUGAGAUGAGAAGAGGUAUUUCUGGUGGACAGAAAAAGCGUGUUACAACAGGUAUGUUGCCUUCGACAAGUCCUUGAAAUUCUUGUUUCUUCAGUCACAAGUUUCUCUAGUAGUAGCUGCUUUAUAAUUACUAUGAAAUUGUUUUGUUCUUCUAUUGCAAGUAUUAACAUUUACAAUCUAAUUGUGUGCAGGAGAGAUGUUAGUCGGAGCAGCAAAGGUACUUUUAAUGGAUGAAAUAUCAACUGGAUUGGAUAGCUCUACCACUUUUCAGAUUUGCAAGUUUUUGAAGCAAAUGGUUCACAUCAUGGACGUAACAAUGAUCGUUGCUCUUCUGCAACCAGCACCAGAGACCUAUGAUCUCUUUGACGACAUUAUCUUAAUUUCAGAAGGUCAAAUUGUCUAUCAUGGCCCACGUGAUAAUGUCCUCGAGUUCUUUGAACAAAUGGGUUUCAAAUGCCCUGAAAGAAAAGGAGUUGCAGAUUUUCUGCAGGAAGUUACUUCGAAGAAGGAUCAAGAACAAUAUUGGUUUAGAAAAAACCAACCCUACAGAUAUAUUCCAGUGUCUGAUUUUGUGGAAGGUUUCAAAUCUUUCCACAUGGGCCAGCAGCUUGCGUCGGAUCUUAGGGUCCCUUAUGAUAAAUCCCAAACCCACCCCGCUGCAUUGGUGAAAGAGAAGUAUGGUAUUUCAAAAUGGGAAUUAUUCAGGGCAUGUUUUGCAAGGGAGUGGCUGCUAAUGAAGCGCAAUUCGUUUGUAUAUAUUUUCAAGACUUUCCAGUUAACAUUCAUGUCCUUAAUUUGCAUGACGGUGUUCUUUAGAACAGAAAUGUCAGUGGGAGAUCUGGAAGGUGGCAAUAAGUAUUUCGGAGCACUGUUUUUCAGUCUGCUUAAUAUUAUGUUUAACGGGAUGGCAGAACUUUCAAUGACUGUUUUGAGGCUACCUGUAUUUUAUAAACAAAGGGAUCACUUAUUCUAUCCUGCGUGGGCUUUUGCCUUACCUAUAUGGGUUCUCCGGAUCCCAUUAUCACUCCUGGAUUCAACAAUAUGGAUCGUUCUGACCUACUACACAAUAGGUUUUGCUCCAGCGGCAAGCAGGUAAAAGUAGUACUCAGAUUUACAGCUUAUUUUCAUUGUACUUCUACACCAUAGGAUUUUGAGUUUAUAUUUCCAUAUUUUAUUGUUUUGUCAAAGAUUGCAUCUGUGCUAGCUACAUAGUGGUUAGAGUUUCUUUGACUGAAAUUUAUUUCAUUUUUUCUUCGUUCAGGUUCUUCAAACAAUACUUGGCAUACUUUUGUAUACACAAUAUGGCUCUGCCCCUUUACCGGUUCAUUGCUGCUAUUGGAAGAACUGAGGUUAUUACAAACGCACUGGGUACUUUUGCCUUGUUACUCAUUUUUUCACUCGGAGGAUUCAUCAUUGCCAAAGGUAAGUUGAUUUCCUUUUUCUCACUAUGUUAUUAAUAGUGGCAAGGAUUGGUAUUUUGAAUAAGAAAUCUGAAACCUUUGAUAGAAGCUAUUUUCUCUUUAGUUCAAGCAGUCAUUUACUUUUUGUCUGCAGAUGACAUUGAGCCAUUCCUGGAAUGGGGCUACUAUGUUUCGCCUAUGAUGUAUGGACAGACUUCCAUACUUGUAGAUGAAUUCCUUGAUGGAAGAUGGGAUGUGGUAAGACCUUUUAUGCUUUGGCUAUUUCUUCCUGGCCAUAAUUCAUCUUCCAAUGCUUAUAUAUCUCAUUCUAUUGCAGCCCAGUGGAGACCGCAGCAUUAAUGAACGUACACUUGGGAAAGCACUUCUCAAGAGGAGAGGCUUCUACAAUGACAGUUACUGGUAUUGGAUUGGCAUCGGAGCACUGAUUGGAUUUUCUUUUCUCUUCAACUUUUUGUUUAUUGCAGCAUUGACUUACUUGAAUCGUAAGUUAUCGAAUUUAAACAUUGUUUCUUUGCAUAAAAAUGAAGUUUCAAUGGUGACCAAUAAAAAAUGUGGGACAUACAUUUCAGCUAUCGGUGAUUCAAACUCAACUGUCGUUGAAGAAGAUGGAGACAAGAAGCGAGCAUCUGGAAAUGAAGUAGAAGGUUUAUGCCCUUGCCUUGCCAUCUUUAACUUUUUUUUUUUUUUCUUGCUUGUUCCUCCUAUAGCAACUGCCAGUGAUUAACAAGCAAUUUAUCUAUUUUGGCAACAGAAGUUGAUUUACAAUCAAACAUUUCAUAGCCUUCUAUUGGUUAUGAUAUCAAAAUGUUAUAAAUGCCUGAACAUAUUUUGAACAACCGCAGGAACGCAAAUGACAGUGAGAAGUUCAACUGAAAUUGUUGGAGAAGAAGAAAAUGCACCAAGAAGAGGGAUGAUUUUGCCCUUCCGACCCCUUUCACUUACAUUCAACCAGAUGAAUUACUACGUCGAUAUGCCAGCAGUAAGUCAUCAGCUCAGUACAUGAUUAAAAAUGUGACAUAAAUGUCUGAUUGCUUUGGGAUCAACUCUUUCAUUUAUGUGACCAAAUUUACUUGGCAUUCUACUCCAGGAAAUGAAAACUGAAGGAGUUGGAGAAGAUCGUCUUCAACUGUUACACAGUGUCAGUGGUGCAUUCAGACCAGGAGUACUGACAGCAUUAAUGGGUGUAAGUGGUGCAGGGAAGACAACUCUAAUGGAUGUAUUGGCAGGAAGGAAGACCGGAGGAUACAUCGAAGGAGACAUUAAGAUUUCUGGUUACCCCAAAAAACAAGAAACGUUUGCUCGUGUCAGUGGUUAUUGUGAACAGACUGACAUUCAUUCUCCUCAUGUUACUCUCUAUGAAUCUCUUCUCUACUCAGCAUGGCUUCGUCUUUCUUCAGACGUCGAUACAAAAAAACGAAAGGUACUAAUUUCGUCUAUACUCUUUCGGCAGGCAUUGAAAGAUUACCUAAUGAUCCAAUUGUGAUUAUUUUUUUUCUUCUUCCUUUUUGUCCGGCAGAUAUUCGUUGAUGAAGUUAUGGAGUUGGUUGAGCUUAAACCAUUGAGGGAUGCUUUGGUUGGCCUUCCAGGAGUAAAUGGUCUUUCAACAGAGCAAAGGAAGAGAUUGACAAUUGCUGUAGAAUUGGUUGCUAACCCUUCAAUCAUCUUCAUGGACGAGCCAACAUCUGGCCUUGAUGCUAGAGCAGCUGCUAUUGUCAUGCGUACGGUUAGAAAUACAGUGGAUACAGGGAGAACGGUUGUGUGCACAAUUCAUCAGCCAAGCAUAGACAUUUUUGAAGCAUUUGAUGAGGUAUUGCUGAAUUCUUAUAAAUUUUCUUGGGAAUGUGUUAUUCUAAGUUUUCUAGUCUAAUUUCAUUGCACAUAUUGAAAGUGAUGUUGUGCUUGUUGCAGCUUUUGUUAAUGAAAAGAGGGGGCCGUGUCAUUUAUGCUGGACCUCUUGGUCGCGAAUCUCACAAGCUCAUAGAAUAUUUUGAAGUAAGCUUGCCUUUUUUUCCUUUCUGUGGUUGGUUCUCUUAUCAUUAAAUAGACAAAUGAUUGACUUGAUCAUUACAUUAUCUCUAAUGAAUUUUUGGCUCAGAAUUUGAGCAGUAGAAAUAGGAUUACCGCCAAUAGGAAUCAAAAUGUGUACUAAUAUUUAUGAAAAUUCAGGCUGUUCCAGGGGUUCCUAAAAUUAAGGAUGCAUACAAUCCUGCAACAUGGAUGCUCGAGGUCAGUAAUAUUUCGGUUGAGAAUCAACUGGGAGUGGAUUUUGCUGAAAUUUAUGCCAAUUCAUCUCUUCAUCAGUAAGUUUGAGCCCAAAGCCCAACACCUUUUUUGGUUACUCAUAUUGUUUUUUAUAUUGCCGCGAAUUCUUGGUCUUUUUCUUAUAUUUUACUUUCUUGAAUCACUUUUCAGGAGAAAUCAGGAACUUAUCAAAGAGCUUAGUACUCCGGAACCUGGCUCGUCGGAACUCCACUUCCCAACCAAGUACUCCCAACCAUUUUUCACUCAAUUUAAGGCUUCUUUCUGGAAACAGUAUUGGUCUUACUGGAGAAAUCCUCAAUACAACGCUAUUCGAUUUCUCAUGACUGCCACCAUCGCCAUUUUCUUCGGUCUUCUCUUCUGGGACAAAGGACAGAAGAGGUAAGUCGACUCCCCUUUCCUUUUCCUUUUGGUGCUUAUGCUGAAACUGAUUAGACUACAAUUAGUAGUGCAGAAUCUUUUAGGAGCUAAAUUGAUAAAAAAUUUUCCCCCCUUUUUUUAAACAGUUCCAGACAACAGGAUCUACAGAAUCUUUUAGGAGCUAUGUAUUCGGUUUGUCUUUUCCUUGGGACCACCAAUGCCGUGUCUGCGAUACCUGUUAUCUGUGUUGAGAGAACGGUAUACUACCGUGAAAGGGCAGCCGGGAUGUUUUCUGCAUUGUCUUAUGCACUUGGUCAAGUACGAAAUACAUUUCAUCUCUUCAAGAACUUAAUGUGCUUCGAUAGCUAACUUCCGCUUGUGAUAGAACAGGAACUUUAUUAUUCGCAAACUGACUAAUGAACACUCCCUAAUGCUGCAGGUUGCAGUAGAGAUAAUAUAUGUGACAGCUCAAACUGUCAUGUAUGUUCUUAUCCUUUACUCGAUGAUAGGAUUCAAGUGGGAGCUGGGAAAAUUCUUCUUGUUCUUCUACUUCAUGUGGGCGUCUUUUGUCAUUUUCACAUUGUACGGAAUGAUGAUUGUCGCAUUGACUCCUGGCCAGCAAGUUGCUACCAUUGUCUUGUCCUUCUUCCUUGCACUAUGGAACUUGUUCGCCGGUUUCAUGAUUCCCAGACAGGUAUGUGCUGCAAACACAAUACUUCUUCCAUAUUUGAUUUUCCAUUUUUAUCCACGUCAAUAUGAAUAAAAUCGUCCCUAAAGCCGUUGAGGGCAUAGCAUAAAAAAUUUGUGCAGCUGCGUAAGCUGAAAAUGAACAAGACCGUGCUGAAUGGAAGCAAGUUUUAAUUUUAAUUUCUUCACAAUUCUGUAGCAUCUAUUUUUUAGACUAACAGUUGAUGUGCAUACACAACAGGAAAUUCCUGUCUGGUGGAGGUGGUACUACUGGCUUUCUCCGGUGGCUUGGAAUCUGUAUGGCCUUGUGACUUGUCAAGUUGGUGACGUAGAGACACAGGUGCAGAUCCCUGAUGGCACUUCAAUGACAGUGAAGCAAUUUGUCAAAGAUAAUUACGAUUACAAGACUGAUUUCAUUCCUGUGGUCGCUGUUGUGCAUCUUGCCUGGAUUGCCGUCUUCUUAUUUGUGUUUGCCUAUGCCAUCAAGUCCAUCAACUUCCAAAGGAGAUAAACCUGUAGCUCAAAUCUUUAGAAUGCUACCUAUUCUUAGAAUUGUAAUCUUUCAAUUUUGCUUGUUACUUGACUUUUAAGUAGAAAUUGUGAUAUGGAAUCCAAUGUAUUCUUUUAUGAAAAUUAAAUGAAUAAAGAAGUUUAAUUUUUGCAAAGAAUUUUUCAUAGAAAUUGUGAUAUCUACAUAUUUCUUAGCCCAUGGAAAAAUUCAGUUUAAGAAAAUACCCCCACUUGAUCCUGGAGUUUUCUCUAGGAUUCAAACAAUCUUCUGAGUUUUCUCUUCAAAGUUGUGAUAUUUUACGUAUCUUGAAAGUAUUUACUGCAUGCAGAUGGAGAAUUAAAAGUCCAUUAACCUGGAAGUAUGCCAGUUUUCUGCUUUCGCGUUUCUAAAUAAAACAGUGGGAUUUUCACUAGCUAGUGAAUUAUCAUCCGACCCCUGUACAGCUUUGUCUAUGUUUUUGGUUUGGUAUCUCUCCCUCUUUCAUUCAUCAAGUUAAUAUUAUUUACAUGUUUACUGUGGGGAUUUUCUCACAGAGCAUUGAUACCUGGACCUCCAGUAUCUUAUGAAUGUGUCAGUUAGACACUAGGGAUGGCAAUGGAUUGGAUCUGAUCCAAGAUCCACGUGAUCCAAAUCCAAUCGGAUCGGAUUUGGAUCGGAUUUGGAUAUUAAUGUGCGGAUCUAAGACGGAUCUGGAGCAUAUCUGGAUCUAUCUUAAUAUCUAAAUCCAUAUCCAUAUCCACUCAUCUUUUAAUUUUAUUUUAUUUUAAAAGUUUCUUAACAAUUGUGAAAUUAUAAUGAUAAUAAAUUUUAUUCAUAACAUAUUAGUAGUAUUUACCAUGCAUUUAAACUCUUAAAACUUAAAGGUUAGUUUUGUAAAUUUAAAGGUCAGUCAGCCUCAAAACAUGUACAUGCAAUAUUCAAAUUGUAAGUCAAGUAAUAUAACUUGACAAUUUAUUUUAUUAUAUUGGCCAAAUAAUUUUUAAGGAAUAUAGUUAUUCAUAUAUUUAGUCAAAUAUGGUCAUAAUAAAAAUAAUAAAGGACUGAAUAUAAAUCAUAUUUAAUUUAUAUAUCAUUAUCUAAUGUUGUAGGAAUGAGGGUAGGUGUAUCGUGGAUAUUAGAAUGGUGAAGGAGACAAUAGAAUAUUAGAUUGAUCUUACUCUUGCAAUUACUUCGGAAUGAUAUUUUAUUAUCUUUCUUAUUUGUUGUUUUGGUGUAAAAGUAUAAGCUACAAUAUUUAUUAUAUUUUUGAGAAAAAUUAUAUAAUUUAUUUGUUAUCAAUACAUUUUACCCUUCAAUUUUCAAUCUAAAAAAUUAUUACUUUUUUAUUACUGAAUUUUAGAAUUCAUGACGAAUCUAGAGCAGAUUUGGAUUUUAAUUUUUUUUUUCCGGAUUUGGAGCAGAUAUAGAUAUUUAUUUCUUUUUUGGAUCUGGAUAUGGAGCGAAAAAUGUGGAUUCAUAACGGAUCUAAAGCAGAUACGGAUCUUGAUUUUUAUUAUGAAUUUAGAUUUGGAGUAGAGUAGAUCCAACCCAUAUCUGCCCCAUUGUCAUCCCUAUUAGACACCCGAGACCAUAAUAAGUAGCAUCCAAACCCUAAAUCCGUUACCUUAUUUGUCAUAUUUAAUAGAUUGUCUAAAUUUGACUAGAAUUAUAGUACUAUGUAUAAUUAGGUGUAUGAACUCAACCGAUUGUUAUAAUUAAGCCCAAAUAGCAGUUUACAUAUAAGUCUAAUAGAAGGCCACAUAUAAAGCCCAACAUAGAAAAUAUGAAAAUAAACUCUCACUACUGUAUAGAGAGACUUGAACCCUCUACCUAAGACAAAAGAUAUUAACAAAUUCCACCAAAUAAUUGUCAGCUAUUAUACCCUAAAAUUAAGAAUUUUUUGAUAGAUAUUUUCUCAUAAAAUCAAUAAACUUUGACCAUAUCAAGCAAAAUAGUAAUAUCAAUCCACUUACCUACUCUUGGUACUACUAGUAGGAAGUUAAGUUAUAAUUUUAGAGUGUUUGAUAAAUACUUGCAAUUCUGUUGGAAGCUUAAGUCACAAUUGUUUGAUGAUGAAAUUUUGAAAAUAUAUUUAUUAUUUAAUUCAUAAUAUUUUUGAAAAGAAACAUUAUUUCACCUUUUAAUAUGUAUUUAAUAAUUGAUCUAAUGUAUGAGAAAGGAUAAUUUAUUUUAAUUAUGAUAUAUGAUAGGUGUAAUGUCAAGAUCAAAGCUACUUGAUUCAAAGUUCAAACCAAACCCACAUCAAUUAACUAGAGUGGUUCGUUAAAAGAAAAAAAAGAAAAAGAUAAAGAAAAAAAAAAAGAGUUGUGGUUAUUGAAAUCCAAAGUCAUGCCGGGUCACCUUCAAACUCGUACUUUGGACAUUCCUUUAUUUCCCUGGUGUCUUGCUACAGAUAUUUAUGGAAACCGAAUACAUAACAUUUUUUUUAAUUGGGUAUUUAAAAGACAGGAUCAUUAUUUAUAUAUUUUAUUUAUUUAUUAUAUUUAAAUUUGUUAAUUGGAAAAAUCCAACGUCUAAAACCACUAGCCCUUGAAUUUCAGAAACGGUUAUAUUAUAAUUAUGCCUAUCUGAUAAUAAUAAUGCAAGCUGAAGCUCUUUGAAAAGGGCAAUAACAAUAAUAAUAAUAAUAAUAAUAAUAAUGCAACUAAAUGAUUAUAAAAAUUUUUGUUAUGUUAUAUAAUCAUGUAACAUAUAUGAUUAUGUAGUAAUUAUAAAAAUUUUAUUUAAUUAUAAAAAUAAUAUAAUUUUAUUAUUUUAUACCUACAGAACUGUUGAAUGAAAAUUCAAUUAACUGCUGCAUAAUUGUAUAGUUAUGUAACGUAAGGAUCUCCGAUUAUAAAAUAAAAAGUAAAAGAAGUCCCCUGUUAAAGAAAAGCGAUGUGAUUACUGAUGGAGUUCAAGAACAAAGAAAACUGAAGUGAACAAGAAUCUUGUGCCCCACGUGACUAUAUGUGGGCCCGCUGUGCACGAGGAUUAAGGAUGCUUUCACUCUGUUCACGUGGGAAGAUCAUAAGCAAAAUUUCUCGUCCAGUGGCAGUACUAUUGUGAUCCGAGCAUAUUACUUGCUGGAGGACUGAUUCCAAUCAGAAUGCGACACAGUAGCACUCAUUGAGUUGACCUCCGGACAUGCUAAGAGAAAAUUCAUCACUUGACCAAUUCAGACAAUUUGUCUGCCUGAGAAAUGGAGAUGCGUAGGCGAUAUAUAGAUUUUGCUACCUUACAUGUAAUAUAAGGUACAGCCUUUUACAAGGCUGUAGGCCUAAAUAAGACCCAUAAUUCAAUUUGUGAGAGACUGUAAGGUAGCAGCUCCCUCUAUAUAUAUAUAUAUAUAUAUAUAUAUAGCACUCACACCCAAACAGGCUUUGCCUAACUUUCUGGAAAAUAUUAUUAACUGUACUGCAACUGAAAGAAAGGCUUUUGUCUUUUGAGCUGAUUGCAUUACUGCCCAGUGCAAAUUGAGCUUUCUUGAGAAAAGCAAAAAAUGAUCCUUUCCCUUUCUUUCUGGAUUAAAAAUCUUUCUCAUUAUCACGCGCAUGCAUCGUUGAGUGUGAGCUCGGCAAACUUCUAACGUUAUCUCUGACUUUGAUGAUUCCAGCCAAUUUCCUCUCUUUCAUACCAGAGGCGAGGGUAGUACAAUGAAGUUGCUAUGUAACGGCACGUUUGGUGUUAUAUAUAUAUAUAUAUAUAUAUAUAUAUAUAUUUUUUUUUUCAACUUGUAUUUUUUUUCAAAAAAAAAAAUGGUAAUAUUGAAGGGGACGAAAUCAUAAAUUACUUAAAAUGGCUAAAUUAGCCUUUGUUGUCUUGAGUUUCCAAAGGUCUAAAAUGUCGGUCUGAUAUUCGUCAAGAGUAAUGAUACAACCAUAAAUUAUUGUAUAAAUUUAUUUUGUACAAACUGACGUGGCACUAAUUCAUUGGUUGAAUGAAAAUAUAAAAUAAUGAAAAUAAAUCAUGUGGGUCAAGUGAUAUUUAAUUCAACCAAUCUUAUCAUGCCACAUAAAUUUAUACAAAAUAAAUUUGUACAAGAAUUUGUAGCUAUAUCAUUACUCAUUCGUCAAAGACACUAUACUGACUAUAUAAAGGGAACUUUUCAUUUAAAAAUGUAUUCUCUCUUUCAAUUUCUUAUACACACAACUGAGGGACAAUAGUGCUCCUGCAAAAUCUAUUAUGUGUGUCUCUCUCUCUCUUUUUUUUUCCCCUUUAAUUUUCUGCAUCUCUCUUCAGUUAUGUGUAUGAGAAAUUGAAAGAGAGAAUCCCUUUCUAAAUGAAAAGUUCCCUUUUUAUGUAUAUGUAGUUGUUUAUGGAGGAAAAUAACUAUCCUUCUCUUGAAUGUCCGUCCAAGUGCAGCUGCUUCGUGUUCACGAUAAUGUGGUGAAAUAGGAUUUGCUGGUGUAAAUCUAUGCACCUACAACUCUAUAAAUUAAAAUGGUGUUGUUGAGUUAAUAUUUUUUUAUAUAACCGAGACAUUAAUUUUGUAUUUAAAUGAUGUCACAUACAUUUAAAGGAUCAUUCUUUCGUAAAAUUUUAUAAUUUUUUGAAAACUGGAACGCACAUGGAAUUGGCUUUUAGUUCAGGUUUAAUAUAUGGAUCGUAUCUACCUAUCACAUAUUCUCUUGUCUCUCUUCAUAUGAUCUUAUCCCCAUUUUCAUGCUCUGUCCCUCUUCUUUUUUUUUUUUUUGAUUGAUAAUGAUAUGAAUUCUAGAAAACUGAAAUGCACAUGCAAUCAUACAGUACCCACUCCAAAAAAACCAGCCUGUAAAGUCUUAAUAAACUGUAACUUAGCUUUAAAAUAACUAAUUAUUUUGUCAUCUCAUAUUCUCAUCCAGAGGAAAACAUUAUUGGUCAAUAUUAAUACGUGCCAGCAUUACAAUAACUUCGGGAGCAAAACUAUAUUAUAAUUUUAUUUGUUCUAUCUAAAUCCUGGCUGGCGAGAUUCUCCGCAUUAAUUUCGAAAUUUUCAGGUAAAAGAAACAAAAUAUUAAUUAAUGUGUCAUAUUUAUUGAAUUAGAAAGAAAACGAAACACACACCGAUCACACAACGGUGCUUCAGUUUUUUUUUUACAAAAAAAAAUAAAAAAUAAAAUCAGGAUUCUCUUCUGAUCUGAUCUUCUCAUGAGUAAAUAUACAUGUGGUGAUUGAUUGUUAAUAAAAUAAAAAAAUAAAGAAGUUAAAUCAUAUCCAUACACUAUCACUUAAAGACAGAUAACAUAAAAUCUUUUAAAAGCUCAUGAGAGCUAAAAUGAAGAGAGGAUAUUUUUUCCAAAAAAAAGAACCACAAUCACUAAUUUCUCAUAAUUUCCCCACUUCAUUUCCUCUGUAUGUAACUCCUUAAUUUGUUUAAUAAAUGAACCAUGUAUGCAUGCCCACCAUUCUGUACUCUAUAUUCAGCAUAUAUUAAAGUUAGCACGAUCUAAUGUGACAGAGGAGAGAGAAGAUAAAGAACAAGAAAAUAGUAGAAAAUUAAAUUAAAUUUACAUUGAUGGAUAAUUUAGUAAUUAUAAGUUUACAUUGAAUGAGGUUUUUGGUUAUUUUAACACAAAAGUAUCAACUCAUAGUAUGCAUAAUCGUAAAUUUUUAUAAUGUGUCGGGAUUUUUUUUUUGUUUUAUAAUGUCUCAUCCUCACCACCCAAUGAAACGUAUUUAUGAAAGAAUAAAUUGCAUGGUAAUAGAAAAUACAUUUUUUUUUUUAAUUCAGAAUCUAGUCAUUUAGAUGCACCAUAAAUAUUUCCAAUAUGAGUGGUUGAGCUGCUGUCCUCACACUUGUGAGGACAGCGGUUCAAGCCCCCACAAAAAUAUUGUGGGGCUAAAAUUUCAUUCGCAAUUAUAUAAAUAAUUGUCUCUCUUAAAAUGAGAGUGUAGUCAAUAUCCCUCUGUCUGAUUGUAAAUAUAUUAAUAAAUAUUCUCAUGUGAUGUGAGUUGUAAUUCUAAGCAUUAGUCCUUGUAAUAAAUAAAUAAAAAUUUCCAAUUUUAUGGCUUACAAUAACGUCAUCAUUACGAAAUUCGCUACCUUUUAAUUUCUUUAAUUCGUUAGUGAGCUUUUUUCAAAUAGUCAAUAUUAUUUCAAAAACAAAAAUACUAGACAAUUCAAAAAUUAGGACUACAAAGGUGCGUCUUCUCAGCCACCAUAUAUGAGCAGCUAGCCGCUGCUAGAACUUAACCGGCCAUGCAGCAACGCCGCUCCUUAGGAGUGGGCAUAAAUUACACAAACGGAGCUAAUCUUGUUAAAAUUAGCUAAAAAGAUAUGAUUUUAACAUGGAUGAUUGGGUGAGGGACUGAUAGGGACUCCACAGAUUUAAUAUUGAUCAUACACGUCUUAAUUAUCUUUUUUUUUUUUUUUAUCUAUUUGAUGAUCCCAGAUAUAUUAUAUAUAUUUCUCUAGGAUCUGUGGUAUAUAUAAACCAUGGUUAAAUGGAUUCAUUUUAGUCAACACCAUUAUCAUCAAUUCUCUCAACCCCGUGUUCAGCCUUCAAAAAUAAAAAAAUAAUUAUAUAGUAAGGCGAAUUUUUCUUUUUACUUUGAAUGCUCAGGAAAAUAAUGACUCGUGUAAGCCGUGCAUUUUUCACAAAUUCUGUCAACAAAAUUCAACAAGUCCCAAUAGAUAGUAAUUGGGAAUACUAUUGGCUAAUUAAUUUAAUUCGUAAUUAGACAAGUAAAUCAGAAUCAAUAUCAUGCCGUUGUUGUCAGCAUUUUGUUAGGAUUUUUUAUAUCUAAAUAUCGGUGAUAAGAUUAUCAGCAAGUCUCCAUCAACUUGUUGUUUUUAAAAUAAAUAUAAAUCAAGAUGGACCGACAAAUCUCCAUCACCUUGCUUGCUUUUUCGUAAUUAUAGGAGACUGAAAAUAUAUUUAAAAUUAUAGGGUUACCUGCUUGGAGGGGUAAGUAACUAAGUACAAUAAUUGCCAAAUCAUUAAACGGCGUCGUGGUGAUUAAAAUCACGACUUCAAUCAAUAUGUUUAGAUUUUUUUUUUUAAUGGUCAACGAUAGUUAAGGACUAAUGUGUAAAGAAAUUGAACAAGGUGGGUUCAUUUGUCAAAAUAUCCAAACCUGUGGGUUUUUUAUUUUUAUUUCUCUAGAAGCAAAAGGUUUGAGUUGAGCCCCUCUUUUACGAAUGCCAAGAAUUACUAUUUGCCGAUGAAUAGAGUCUACAAAAGAAGACGAAGAAACUCUUCGUCAAUUAUUUGACCAAUAUAAAUAUAAAAUCAAAAGCUCCUCCCAAAUUGCUGCAGCGUCUCGAUGCAAUUAUUUCGAUUUUUUUUUAAAUAUAAAUAAUCGAAGAUUCCUCCUCAUCUUCGCCAACUACUAGCUGUCAAGAAAGCCUCAUUAAAAUCGACAUCAUGAAUUGGACAACAGACUUCUUGGUCUAGUUGAUAAUUAAUUCAUGAAAAACAAAACCCGAAACGUGAUCCAAAAGUCGGGACUCGACUAGCUUACAGAAUCUGUAAGGUACAGACUGCAGCAUCAGCCGUUGGAUGUGGUUGGAUGUGGAGUGAGAAACUGAACAAUAGAAAAUCGGAUGGUGGGAUGACGGGAGAUGUUUGUUACAGAAUCUGUACCAUAGACAGGUCCCAAAAGUCGAUGUAUAAAUAAAUAAACAGAGAGAGCCCGCCUCUUUUGACGAGCGUUACAUCGUAAAUUAUUUCCAUUACCGAAAUAUAAUCAUUAAUCAAUAAAAUUUCAUAGACUAAAUAAACAAAUAUAACAAAAAUAACAAAAUAAAACGUGUUGCAAAAUUAAGAAUUUUAAAUUAAAAAAAAAAUAAAUGCAGAACCCGCUUGCUUUGACGAACGUUCCACGCAAGUAGUCUUUCUUUUUAUAAAUUGCCAGGCUGCUGCAUCCACUAGCACCCUUCACACUCCCUUUUAAAAUUCAUUUCUCCCACCAGCUUCAAUUUCAUUCUUUGAUUCAAGCCAUAAGCUGUUUUGUAAAGUUUUUCGUUUAUAUUCAAUCGGUUUACAUCUUAUUUUCUAAAGACUUUAAUAAGAAAAAGAUAAUAAAAUAAAGAAGAAGAAGAAGAGGUUUGGAUUGAACACAGCAAGAUGAGUGCCACCGUGGCAGACGAUCUAGCAAGAUCAUUUUCAGUGAGAGGGGGGCAGAGCAUAUCAUCGGGUAGCCGCCGGAGCUGGGCGUCGGCCAGCAUCCGGGAAGUAUGGAAUGCGCCGGACAACGUGUUCAGUAGGAGUGAAAGGCAGGACGAUGAAGAGGAGCUGCGGUGGGCCGCCAUUGAGCGGCUGCCGACCUACGAUCGGCUAAAGAAGGGCAUGCUAAACCAAGUUCUUGAAGAUGGAAAAGUUGUUAAACAUGAAGUUGAUGUCAGUAAUCUUGCCAUCCAAGAUAAGAAGCGGUUGCUCGAAAGUAUAUUGAAAAUCGUUGAAGAGGAUAA
rnacentral:lncRNA from 1 species